AGAAUCAACGCUGGCGGCGUGCCUAACACAUGCAAGUCGCACGAGAAAGGGUAGCAAUACCUGAGUACAGUGGCGCACGGGUGAGUAACACGUGACUUAUCUACCUUUGAGUGGGGAAUAACCUGGGGAAACCCGGGCUAAUACCGCAUAAUACCUACGGGUCAAAGCAGCAAUGCGCUUGAAGAGGAGUUCGCGGCAGAUUAGUUAGUUGGCGGGGUAAUGGCCCACCAAGACGAUGAUCUGUA
rnacentral:rRNA from 1 species